GACGGCCGCUGGCGCCGGCGGGAGGGCUGCAGAGGGUCCGGACUUCGACUUCGGUGGGUGGAUCGCGUGCUGGGGGUGAGGAAGGGAGACCUGAUGAGGCUCCCUGCUGGGUGACGCUUAGAGGCAGGUGUGAAGGUGUUCUGAUCAUGAAGGUCUGGGUACAAGGUAUUUACCAACCAAACAGGUGCCUAGCAGCGAGCCGGGAACUGGCUUUGAUGAGUUCUCAUUUCUCCCAGCGCAGGUUAGGAGGCCGUGUGUUUCAUUUGCCCGUGACUGUUGGGAGUAAAGGCGGUGCUCUUCAGGUUCCCCAGUGAACCUGUUAACUCAACUUCAAGUAUUUGGGCCAUGUGUGUAUUAAUGAAAUGAUUGCAUCCGAUUACGUCUUUUAUUCAGAGCACAAGAACAGUCCAUGAAUUCUGUCCUCCAGCAGUACUGUUUUUGUCAUGAAGUCACUAAUUAAGUUACUCCAUUUCAUGCAGAGGUGAGACUGCUGCUCAUUAAGGUAUCAGCUUCCAUCAGUCGAGUGGAAAUAAUACUGGACCCUGCUUCAUUGUAUGACUCAGUCCCCAAGCCUUGCCAGACUCGGAGACCUCCCUGGAACUUUUGCUGCUAUUGCCUUCAAGAGGAAUUUUUACUUUGUUAUCCCCAUGUCUGUAUCAACUAUGAAGACAUCUAAAUCUCAGUAGCCAGUUACAAACAAAGAUCUUCAGGGAUCACUGAAACUUCAAGACAUUGGUUGACCUGCGGAGACCAUAUCCCGUACUUCUGGCCUGACAAGGCUGAGGUUCCAUGCAGCGUUCAGCUGAAGUGCUCCCUUUAGCUCAACGAAGUAGCCCUUGCAAAUGGAAAGCGUGUGUAGGCACGCCUAUGCGUGUCUGUGUGUGCACGUGUGUGAGUGCAAUGUGGUGUUUCGGAAAACAGCUUGCAUUUUAUUCUUCCUAAAUUUAAAAGCCAGAUCAAACCUGAUACAACAUUCUUCUCCACGAACCUGAGUCACCUACCAUGGCUGACUGAAAAUCCCAGGGAGAUUUUAGUGUCAUCUGUCCGUGGAAACCUGUGUUUGCUGAUGGCUGCCUUUAAAGUCCAACACACAUGAGGUUAGCACAGAAGAAGGAAAGAAGAACUUGCUAUGAUUUCUCAUUUUGUACCUAUGCAUUACUUGAAUAUAUUGACAGAGACAUGUAUCCAUUUUAUGAACUUAAGAGCAGAGGAAAGCAGUCUGACUUAGGCUCUUUGGCUGAAUGUCAAACAUCAUUUUUGUCCCGUUUACCCAGUGCAAAGCCUGCACAAUGACCUCCAUAUACUGAAAAAUAACACAUCAAAACUCCAAGUGUGGACUCAGAUCUUUUCCACCAGUGUGACUAUUUUUAAACCUGUCUUCAACUUUCCUCUGUAACCUAAUUCUGCUUCUGUUCUUCAUGUGCAAUAAAAUGUCUUUUA